ACAAAAACCCCAUCAGAAAAUACAAGCAAGAGAGAGAGAGAGAGAGAGAGAGAGAGAGAGAGAGAGAGAGAGAGAGAGAGAGAGAGAGAGAGAGAGAGAGAGAAGAAAACAUAUAUACAUUAAGCAUUUUAGAUUAGUAACGGCAAAUAGUCUCUCGAUGAGAUCGAUUGGAUUUGGAUGGAAAAACUGGAAAUUUUUUCAUCAUUUGAUUUGCACGUGCGAAAAAGAAGGAAAAAAUAAAAUAAAUGUGAAUGUAGCAGUAAUAGCAUCGAUGAUGGUCAUAUACAUAUAAUACAAAAAUCAUUUCUAAAUUUUGCCUCUCAGCAAACAUACAAAAAAAUGGCCCAAUCGAAAAUGUUUGCAUAUCAAUGUACGACUCACCUUUAAAAAGAGAAGAAAAAAAAACAAAUACCAGAAAUAAAAACAAUCUUUUGCACAAACAAUCACUUUGCUACCACACCGACAAUCUACUCUCACUCCUUCUAUCUCACAGAAAAAAAAAACACAUUCAACGGAAAAGAGAAUCCAUCGAAAAGAAAUUGCUUGCAGUCAGCAAGGUAAUUGUGUCAUGGCGUGCAUUCGCCGCUCAACUGAAAACGAUUUGCCGCUCAACUGAAAUCGUCCGGAAGAAAUCGAUUGGAUUUUCGUUUCAUUUCCGAACGAAUUGAGAUUCAAUUGCAUCCGAGUAUUUUCCCAUAAGAAACAUGUAUUUUAAUAUUUGGAGAAAAAAAAGAAGAAAUAUCUAUGACAUAAGAUUAUAGCUAUAAAAUUAUUGCAGCCGCAAUAGCAACAACAAAAAAAACAUGAGUAAAAUAUAUCUAAAUGUGAUUAGAAAAGACAAUCCUACUAAUGAAUUCGAAUAGAAACCCCUCACAUAUGAAUUGAAAAAAAAAAUGCAAAUGAAAAUGUAAAAAAAAAACAGAAUGUAAAUUUGUUAGAUGGUAGAAACAGAGAUCAAAAUAAUGGUAUCGACCAUGUUUAUUGAUCCGAUUUGGCGAAGAGAAAACAAUGGUCUGAUAGGGGCCGUGGCUCUUGAAAUCCACUUCCAAUUCCUUUUUACGCGCGCUGUGUUUCUUUCUUCUAUAGGCAGAUAAACUAUAUAAUUGAUGGAUUUACAUCUCCUUUGGAUCUUCUUUGGAUCUCCAUUUCAUGCAACCUUACACUUGGCACUUCUGUUUGUUUUCAAAGCGAUAUGCACAACGUAGAUAUAUACAAAAAUAGCAGCAACAACAACAACAACAACAACAACAACAGCAACAAAACAAAUACAAUGGCUUUUACAUUGUAGUGCUAAAAAAGAAAAAUCAGAUUGUCUUAUGAUUCAACAGAGGCAUUCAUUUCCUCUCGGUAUCUCUUUCUACUUCCCCUUAGAUCUAAAAAAAACAUAUACAUAUGAAUAUAUAAGUAAAUCAUAUCUAUGCUCGUAAAUUCGAUGUUCCAAGAUUAUGUGUGUGAUAGACUCUCCAUCACUUCCUCAAUGCCAUGGCAUUGAUAAUGACCCAAUAAUAUUAAAGCUCACUCGUUCCACGCUUUUAGGUAUGUUUAUUUAUUUUUUUCUCCUCCACCCCAUUUUUUUUUUUGUUCUUUUCACCAUACAUAGCACAAACGACACACAUCACAAAAAGAGAAAGAAAAAAAGCAUAUCCCCCGGAUGGAAUAAAGAAUGGAUAGCAAAAAAAGAGACAACUGUAUAAAUGGACAUUUAUACCAUUUCGGUGUAAUGUAGGCACAUCGACAACACAAGUAACCAAAGUAGAUCACCGAAGAAAUGAAUAAACUAUAUUUUAUCACUGUAAGAGCAUCAAACUCCAACAAAUUGUAAUUACAGUCCAUUUUUGUUCAGCUCUAAAACUUAUAAUCCAGUUUUUCCAUUGAACUUUUCUGAUUUUAGUUGUGCUUUUUCAUUUUUAAAAACCAUACUUAAAGGGCAAGAAAAAAAAAGACGAAUUGAGUAGAACUUUCUUUCUUCGGUUUUUCUAUUUGUUUUUUUUUUUUUCACAAAACCAUCGUCUUAUUUAUGUACAAAUGAAAGCACCGAUGAAUUCCCUGAUGCAAAAAUAUACGCAAUUACAGUACAAGUUCAACCAAAGCAAAACUCAACAAAUAACGAUAGAUUUAAAUAGAAAUUGUGCAUUGAAUAGACGACGACAAUGAACAGAAGAAGAAGAAAAAUAAAUAGCCAACAACAGAAUGACGUAAAAUAAAACAAAUCCAAAAGAGGUUGAUUGUAAAUUGUGAACACACACACACACACACACACAACUGAACAACACUGGAAGGUGAGCAUUGUUUUGAACGACGACAAUAUCCCAUUUGCAAUGUGAGCAAAUAUUUUAUAUAUUGUAACAUAGAAUGAAAGACAGACAAAAUGGUUAACUAUUCCUAUUCAAAUGAAAAAGAUGAACAAGUAUUUCUAAACAACCAAAAAUUUUAUCACUUUUUUUUGUGGUAGCUUUACUUAAAUCUUAACUAUACUUAGAAAAAGAAAAAAUUAACAGAAUAUUUGGUCCUUAUGAUAGUAGGUAGAUUUCUAUAUCACCACUUUUCGAAUCUCUCGAUUCGCACCUACAUUUUUGAGAUUAAAUUGACAGAAUGAUGACAUUGUAAGGGAAAGACUGGAUUCAUAAAUAAAUGUAGUCAAUAGAUCAGUAUGGCUGAAUAGGGAGAACGUUGAAAACAGGCGAACUUCUUUUUUUUCAAUGACAAUGACUUUUUCCUCUCUGGCUUCCCACUCUUUCUUUCUCUAUUUUCCACUGUAUACCGAUUUACAUUGUCCAAACUUUUUUUAUUCAUUGGUUCUCUAUUCAUCUUUGAAUAAUUCAUUUUGAGUUCGUUUAUUUUCCUGACACAAGAAAACUUUUCUCCCUUCUCUAUGUCUGUUGAUCAAAAGUGAUAUUUUUACGGGAUGAAAAGACGAACAGAGAAAAAAGUGACAACUUUUCCUUAUUCAGUAUUUACAUACACACAAACGAGAAAAAAGGGUUCUUUUCUCUGCAUAGUCGAGUAGAAGAAAUAAAUUUUCCGAUUUAACGUUCGAUGGAUAGAUGUUUUUUUUUUCUCUCUAUCUCUAAUCGUUCUAAAAUGAUACAAACACACACACA